rnacentral:rRNA from 1 species
AGAUUUUUAAAUUUACAUUAUUGUUUUUUAUUAGGUUGUUGUGCCUUUUGCAUCAUGCUGUUUCGAGGUUUUAGUAUAUUACUUUUUACCGAAAAGGUUUGAUUUUUAAUUCAAUUGGUUAGGAUCUAUUCUCGGGUAGAGUAAAAAAUUGAUUUAACGUUGUGAUAAAUAAGUCGUUUUCUUUUAUAUCUGUUUUUUGUCCUAGAUUUCCCUUUAUUCAUCGGGCAGGGAAGUCCGAUGAAUUUGUAUAUACUUAAUUUUAGUGUCUUGAUAGAAUAGGGUUAAAAAUCCCCUUUUAUAAGAAUUUUGUUAUAAUUUAUUUUAAGUUUGUUUUUUAUUACAAUUAGUUGACAAAUAGGUUUAAUGGUUUGAUAUAUUUAUGAUACAAUAAGUAAUAAGAUAAAUUAUUUUGUUUCUCAAGCAUAUUCCGUCUGUUUAUUAAAAACAUUUCUAUCUGUAAAUAUUAUAUAGUAGGGCCUGCUCAGUGUUUAAUUAUUAAUAGCCGCAGUAUUUUGACUGUGCGAAGGUAGCAUAAUUAAUUGCCCUUUAAUUGGGGGCUUGUUUGAAUGGUUUGACGUGGUUAUUGUUAACAUUAUUUUUGUUUGUGAAAUUAAUAAUGAGGGCACAGAAUCCUCUGAGUUUAAUUAGACGGAAAGACCCCGGGAUCUUUUCUUUUUGCCUGGGGCAGGUUAUAAUUUUUCAAGUUUUGUAUUUUGACCCUAGUUUAGGUUAAUUGGUUUAAGUUACCCCGGGGAUAACAGUGUAAUAAUUUAUUAGAGAUCUUAUCGAUUAAGUUGUUUGCCACCUCGAUGUUGACUUAAGUAUAUAAUGAGGCGCAGUUGUUUUAUUAUGUGGUCUGUUCGACCUUUAUUACUUCCAUGAGUUGAGUUAAGACCGGCGUAAGCCAGGUCGGUUCUUAUCUAUUUUGCCGAUUUAUUAGUACGAAAGGACCAUAAAUUGUUUUUGU